rnacentral:rRNA from 1 species
CAGCAGCCGCGGUAAUACGUAGGGUGCGAGCGUUAAUCGGAAUUACUGGGCGUAAAGCGUGCGCAGGCGGUUCGCCAAGUCAGGUGUGAAAUCCCCGGGCUUAACCUGGGAAUUGCGCUUGAAACUAGCGGGCUUGAGUGCGGCAGAGGGGGGUGGAAUUCCACGUGUAGCAGUGAAAUGCGUAGAGAUGUGGAGGAACACCGAUGGCGAAGGCAGCCCCCUGGGUCGACACUGACGCUCAUGCACGAAAGCGUGGGGAGCAAACAGGAUUGGAUACCCUGGUAGUCCACGCCCUAAACGAUGUCGACUAGGUGUUGGGGAAGGAGACUUCCUUAGUACCGCAGCUAACGCGUGAAGUCGACCGCCUGGGGAGUACGGUCGCAAGAUUAAAACUCAAAGGAAUUGACGG